ACAGAAGUGUAUGGGUGAGGUUCUGUGGCCUGCAAUGUGCAGGAGGUCAGACUAUAUGAUCAUGGUGGUCCCUUCUGACCUUAAAGUCUAUGAGCAAACAAUAUUUUCCCUAUUUUACAUUAGGUUCCAUAUUUUUAAAUUGUCCUACAGUAAUGGCUUUAAUAUGUAAUUAUCCGCUGAUUACUGGUAUUUGGUAUAUUGUUAAUCUUGGUACCUAGUUACUUACUGGAAGCAAUAUCAAAAUCUUGAAUUGAUUAAAAAAAGAGAUGAGUGAUUUUUUUAUAGUUGACAAAUUAACAAAUUACAAUAACUAUAUAUGUUUAGACACCCUACUAGCGUAUUUGUGAAUGGCUACAAUACAGAAAUUCAGAACAGCCAGGAAACAAGACACUUGUGGGGUAAGAACUACAUUUAUGUGUUUGUAUCAAAUUAAUUAUUGUGGGAAUUAAUUGAACUACAUUGUGCCUAAUUCACCUAUCUUUGGCAGUGUGCGAGACUAAUGUGGCUGUUUACAGUGCGGUAAAACCACAUGAGAGCAUAAUGCUUGGCAAUUGGUAUUCAUAAGAACGGCCGUACUGGGUCAGACCAAAGGUCCAUCUAACCCAGUAUCCUGUCUUCCGACAGUGGCCAAUGCCAGGUGCCCCAGAGGGAAUGAACAGAACGGGUAAUUAUCAAGUGAUCCAUCCCCUGUUGUCCACUUCCAGACCUGAUCUUUCCCACAGUUCAAAAGCAUUCAGAUCUGGGGUUGUAUUUAAGCUCAGUUUGGAUCCAGAUCUGGUUCUGAAUUUCCCUAAAGUUCCCUUGAUGUUCAUACCGAGGUUUAGUUCGGAUCCAUCUCUAAUUUCAGCAUCGUGACAUGCUAGUAAUACACUAUCUUUGUGGUUUAACUUUAUAUUAAUUAAUUAAAUAACCGUUUUUCGUGUGCCAAGAUACAUAUCUAUUGCAAUUAAUGUUACUGACUGUUUUUGUUUUCAAAAUCAGUGGGCUACCUUAUUUCCAAGAGAGAUAAAAACACAUCAGCAAUCUCUAGUUAUGGUGAAGAGAAUAAUGGCUGUUGCAGUAUCAGGUAUUACUUACUUACGUGGAAUUUUCCCUGAAGAUGCAUACAGCACCCAUUAUUUAGAAGAUCUCUGUGUUAAAGUUUUGCGAGAAGACAGCAUCUAUCCAAGAGUAUCCAAAAUUGUUAAAUGCUGCAAAUGAUGAUUCUUGGAGUACAGAAGGACGCAGCUAACCCAAAUAACAUGAUAGAAUCUUAUCAAUUUAAGUUCAGAUAUACAUCGAAGGGACCACAGAUGGAUGUAUUCAGCAAUAAGAAAACUAAUUUAACAAAUGAUGCAACAGAAGACAUAAAGAGGACCUGUCUUCUUCUAAUUCAUAACCUCUAUUUUCUGAUGGAAAAUAUCAUUUCUCUUCCUAAUGAUGUCUCUCUCACUAUGAAGCUAUUUUAUUAUGCAGAUGGCAAGUAUUGGGAUUUAUUUGUAAAACUUUAUUUAAACAAACAAAAAAUCUGAAUAGAAUGGAACACAUACAUUUUACACAAAAAGAGGAAAAAAUAAA